CAGGAUGACAUCUCGGCCAGCAUGCACAAGUGACCGCAUCGCCAUGGCUUCACCGGUUGAUCUUCUCGCUACCGUCAUCUCGCCAUGGCUCCACUAAUACUCUCCACUGUCACCUUGCUAUGGUUCCACCGUCAUGGUCACUGGCCCAAUGAAAUUGACCUAGUGAUUUUGAUGGAGUGAUGAGUUAAGAUUAAUUUACAGCCCCGAUUUGGCUUAUUUGUAUUUUUGUUUGGAAGAUCAAGGAUUUGUAAGAUUGACUACAACUAUCCCUCUUGCUUUAAAUCAGGGGCAUAUAUGCAUGGAUGAAUGACCGACAAACAUGUACAGGUUAAUGCAUGCACGGAGUGUGUUUCUAUGUGUUGCAACCGUCGUGGUCAUCAUCGUCGAUUUGUCAUGGUGAUCGUCGUCGUCGUCAUUGUUCGUUGCCGGGGACGUCCCCGGAAAGUACUCGGCGUCGACUAAGCCAACACUAUGCAUCCAUGGCUAAAUAUCAAGCUAGCUGCUUGCCCUCACACGCAACACUAAUCCACUCAGAUUGCACGAGCGAGUUCGGGAGUUAUGCCAGAACAUGAUUGGGUGAUUGACGUGGACUACUGCGGCCUGGUGGGCGUCGUGCUCUUCAACCACUCGGAGGUGGACUUCAUCAUGAAGCCCGACGACCGCGCCGCACAGAUGAUCAUCAAAGUCAUUGCGACACCGGAGGUCGCCGAGGUGGAGGACAUCGACGUCACCGUCCGGCGGGAGGGAGUGUUCGAAUCCAUCGAUGUUUGAACUUCGAGCCUUGGUAGAUACAUCUAGAGAAGUGGUCUAGUUGUUUGCAUCUGAUGUUAAAUGGGAUCUCGUGAUCUCGAGUUGAGAUGGUCAAUGUUGUAUCCAUGAAUGCUGCAAGUGCUAAGAUGGUUCUGUG
rnacentral:rRNA from 1 species